GACGAACGCUGCCGGCGUGCCUAAUACAUGCAAGUCGAGCGGACCGACGGGAGCUUGCUCCCUUAGGUCAGCGGCGGACGGGUGAGUAACACGUGGGUAACCUGCCUGUAAGACUGGGAUAACUCCGGGAAACCGGGGCUAAUACCGGAUGCUUGAUUGAACCGCAUGGUUCAAUCAUAAAAGGUGGCUUUUAGCUACCACUURCAGAUGGACCCGCGGCGCAUUAGCUAGUUGGUGAGGUAACGGCUCACCAAGGCGACGAUGCGUAGCCGACCUGAGAGGGUGAUCGGCCACACUGGGACUGAGACACGCCCCAGACUCCUACGGGAGGCAGCAGUAGGGAAUCUUCCGCAAUGGACGAAAGUCUGACGGAGCAACGCCGCGUGAGUGAUGAAGGUUUUCGGAUCGUAAAACUCUGUUGUUAGGGAAGAACAAGUACCGUUCGAAUAGGGCGGCACCUUGACGGUACCUAACCAGAAAGCCACGGCUAACUACGUGCCAGCAGCCGCGGUAAUACGUAGGUGGCAAGCGUUGUCCGGAAUUAUUGGGCGUAAAGCGCGCGCAGGCGGUUUCUUAAGUCUGAUGUGAAAGCCCCCGGCUCAACCGGGGAGGGUCAUUGGAAACUGGGGAACUUGAGUGCAGAAGAGGAGAGUGGAAUUCCACGUGUAGCGGUGAAAUGCGUAGAGAUGUGGAGGAACACCAGUGGCGAAGGCGACUCUCUGGUCUGUAACUGACGCUGAGGCGCGAAAGCGUGGGGAGCGCACAGGAUUAGAUACCCUGGUAGUCCACGCCGUAAACGAUGAGUGCUAAGUGUUAGAGGGUUUCCGCCCUUUAGUGCUGCAGCAAACGCAUUAAGCACUCCGCCUGGGGAGUACGGUCGCAAGACUGAAACUCAAAGGAAUUGACGGGGGCCCGCACAAGCGGUGGAGCAUGUGGUUUAAUUCGAAGCAACGCGAAGAACCUUACCAGGUCUUGACAUCCUCUGACAACCCUAGAGAUAGGGCUUCCCCUUCGGGGGCAGAGUGACAGGUGGUGCAUGGUUGUCGUCAGCUCGUGUCGUGGGAUGUUGGGUUAAGUCCCGCAACGAGCGCAACCCUUGAUCUUAGUUGCCAGCAUUCAGUUGGGCACUCUAAGGUGACUGCCGGUGACAAACCGGAGGAAGGUGGGGAUGACGUCAAAUCAUCAUGCCCCUUAUGACCUGGGCUACACACGUGCUACAAUGGGCAGAACAAAGGGCAGCGAAGCCGCGAGGCUAAGCCAAUCCCACAAAUCUGUUCUCAGUUCGGAUCGCAGUCUGCAACUCGACUGCGUGAAGCUGGAAUCGCUAGUAAUCGCGGAUCAGCAUGCCGCGGUGAAUACGUUCCCGGGCCUUGUACACACCGCCCGUCACAC
rnacentral:rRNA from 1 species